rnacentral:rRNA from 1 species
CACAUGCAAGUCGAACGGAAUACUAAUUAAGAGAAUCUCACACUAGUGAGAGGUUCUCAGAGUAGUAUUUAGUGGCGGACGGUGAGUAACACGUUGGAACCUGCCCCGAAGUGGGAUAACUGCUCGAAAGAGUAGCUAAUACCCCAUAGUAUCCGGUUUAUCCGGAUUUAAAGAUUUUAUCGCUUCGGGAGGGGCCUGCGUCUGAUUAGCUAGUUGGUGAGGUAAAAGCUCACCAAGGCGACGAUCAGUAGCUGGUUCGAGAGGAUGACCAGCCACACUGGGACUGAGAUACGGCCCAGACUCCUACGGGAGGCAGCAGUGAGGAAUCUUCCACAAUGGCGCAAGCCUGAUGGAGCAAUACCGCGUGCAGGAAGACGCUUUUCGGAGUGUAAACUGCUUUUGUCGUCGAAGAUUAUGACUGUAGACGAAGAAUAAGGACCGGCUAACUACGUG